UGGGUUGUAGCUUGGAGGUAGAGUACUUGUCUAGCACAUGUAAGACACUGGGUUUGAUCCCCAGCAUCACAA
rnacentral:tRNA from 1 species